rnacentral:rRNA from 1 species
GAGCGCAGCGAGUCAGUGAGCGAGGAAGCGGCCGCAUAACUUCGUAUAGCAUACAUUAUACGAAGUUAUCAGUCGACGGUACCGGACAUAUGCCCGGGAAUUCGGCCAUUACGGCCGGGGGGUUGUAAACUUCUUUUAUUAGAGAAGAUAAUGACGGUAUCUAAUGAAUAAGCAUCGGCUAAAUAUGUGCCAGCAGCCGCGGUAAGACAUAUGAUGCAAGCGUUAUCCGGAAUGAUUGGGCGUAAAGCGUCUGUAGGUUGUUUAAAAAGUCAACUGUCAAAAACUAAAGCUCAACUUUAGGCAGGCAGUUGAAACUUUUAGACUAGAGUAUGGCAGAGGUAGAGGGAAUUACUGGUGUAACGGUGAAAUGUGCAGAUAUCAGUAAGAACACCAAUGGCGAAAGCACUCUACUGGACCAAAACUGACACUCAGAGACGAAAGCUAGGGGAGCGAAUAGGAUUAGAUACCCUAGUAGUCCUAGCUGUAAUCGAUGGAAACUAAAUAUUGCGUUUUUAAAAUGCAGUAUUGUAGCUAACGCGUUAAGUUUCCCGCCUGGGGAGUAUGCUCGCAAGAGUGAAACUCAAAGAAAUUGACGGGGGCCCGCACAAGCGGUGGAGCAUGUGGUUUAAUUCGAUGCAACGCGAAGAACCUUACCGGGGUUUGACAUACUAUGCAUUUUUUGGAGACGAAAAAGUUUAAACAUAGAUACAGGUGGUGCAUGGCUGUCGUCAGCUCGUGUCGUGAGACGUAGGGUUAAGUCCUGUAACGAGCGCAACCCUUAUUGUUAGUUGCUUUUAGGAAACUAGCAAGACUGCCAGUGAUAAGCUGGAGGAAGGUGAGGAUGACGUCAAGUCAGCAUGCCC